CUGACGUUUUUUCAAAGGAGGUAUUAGUAUUUCCUCUAAACAGCCUACAACAAUAAGCUACACAUCAUGUCAGAUGACAGAAAGGUAUGGUUCAUUUAGCCUAUUUUGAGUUUAGAGGAGAAAUUACUAACAAUAUAGUAGGUCACUAACACAGCAAUAGGUCUCACUGGUUUGAUCCAUGGACUGAAAUCUGACCACUAUUGUCGUUUUGUUUAAAAUAAGAGCGAAUAAGUUGUUUCAUAAAGUCACAACCUAGGACUGAUAUUGGCCUCUCAUUUAUCCACCAGAGCGUGAAAUGGGAGGAUCCCCCGGAUGACCAAAAUAAGGUUGUGGAGAAUAUGAAGGAUGAAACAGAGACACAUGAGACCAACAAGAACAGGACAGGAGGCAAGGUAAGAAAUAUGCUGUCCUCUACACAUGUUCUGCCUACUUAGGUACAGAUCUAGGAUUAGUUUACUAUCACUAAAUCCUAGCCUUAAAGCAUUAGGAGGAGACGCUACACUGACCUUAGAUCUGCUAUGAGACCUAUAAUCUGUUGUCAUGUAGGCUAAACGUAUGUCCAGUGGCCGCGCCAAGAAGACUUCCGUGGAGGAAGACAGCAGCAUUGGUGCAGGUCUGAGAUUACUUCAUGUUGGGUGCAGGUUGUGUUCAAAUUCAUCAGCACUAAUCUGAGAAGAUAGUAUCUAUAUAGGUGAAAGCAAUAUAAGGGAGGCCCGCAGAGAGAUGUGCUUUUACCUGUCCAGUGCAAUCAAAUCACUAAAGGUGAAGGAAAUUAGGGAUCAAGUUCAGAUUCAACUUUAGAUUUCUCUUUGCGGUUUCCCAGAGUCUUCUCAGACACCCGGGUGUGGUUUCCGGGAAAGGGGAUCUAUCAUUGAGCAGCUGGAGAAGGAGGCUCAGAGGACUCUAAUGCCUUCUCUCAAGAUUGAGACAUGCUGUGCCCCAAUCCUCCUCUCCUUCCUGAGGAGUCUAACUGAUGACCAAUGGAGGGUGAUUCAGCAUGGCAUGAAAAAUAACCUCACAUUCGAGCAGCUCUCCACGCUGUGUCUGAAGAUUGUUAAAGUCGUGACCCAGACAGCCCUCCGCAUUCUCCUACCAGCGCUAGCUCGUAUCAUGGGGGUGAACCUGAGGAGUGGGGCAACCUCCCCAGAAUCCCAGUGCUCUCUGACAGGGUCUGAGGAUUCCUUAGGCAGUCUGGAUGAGAGAGAGAAAAGGCUGCUGAUCAGUGAGAUGAACUACUGGACUAAGGAGAGGAGGAGGAAUGGCAGUGCAGGGUUCCGCCAAAAAUCCACUCGCAGAACCUCAUCACCAUGCUGUUCGCCUAAGAGGUCCCAGACCUCAUUUCAGAGCUUGCCUGCAACUAGAGAGGCUCCACUCAUGGAGGAGCCUCUGAAGGCUCUUUUUGGGGUAACGGAAGAGAGCCUCCUGAUAUCCCUGGUUGAGGGUCACUCCAACCCCACAUCCUCCGAGUUGAGCUGUGCUAUCGUGGGGGAGGUGGUACACCAGCUUAACUCUGGCCUCUCAGUGGCCAUUCAGGCCAGCCCGGGGAGUUGCCCCCCUAUGGACAGUCAGGACAUAGCAGCAGGCAAGGAGGUCAUUCGGGUAGCCUCGGUGCAGAUCCUGGCCGAGCUACAGAGCCAAACGUCUGAGCCAGAGUGGUUAGGGUUUAUCGAGCCCCUCAUGGACCCUGUGACCGAUGAUGUGCUGGAUGCCAUUGUCGGCACAAUGGACAAAAUGGCACAGGACUUCAACAUCCUAUUGGAUCUGGCCAAGAAGAUGACAAUCUUGGGGUCUAAAUUUCUGACCAAUCUUCAAUGUGACCUUGAUGUUGAGUGUCCAUCUGGGAAAGAAGGGACCACUCACUUUCUCAAAGAGACUGGAUCCUCUACCAGUGUGGUGGCCAGAAAGCUUCAGACCCUCUCUAGCCCCGACUUUCAGUCUAAAGCCCUGAAGGCGGUGAGCACCAUCCUUACAAGGAAAGUCAGCAGCUCUUCUGGCAUGGCUCCUUCCUCUAGGCCUUCUAGUGCUGCUCCUAGCCUUACUGAAGCCCCCCUGAAUACCAGCUGCACAGCCCUGACAUCUGUAACCUCCACUGCCACAGUGAUUGUUAAGGCAUUUGUGGGAGGCAUGGAGACGAUAGCAUCAUUUGAAGGCACAUGUGAAGCCGUUGAUUGGCCAGUUCCUGUAAAUGACCACAAAACAGGAUCUUCACAGAUGAUAACCUUCUCUCUAGCACGCACACUCUACGGCCGUAUACGAGCAAAGCUGAGGGACCUUUUAACUCUAUCCACUCGAGAAGAAGGUGUGGCUAAGGAUGCUUCUCUUCAGGAGUCUUCAGACACCCUGGAAAAGGCAACUGUUUCAACUGUUGAGGUCCAGUUACCCAGCACCGAACUUAGUAGAGUUCCCAGAGAGAGCCAACCAAUACCAGCUCUCUGUCGCUCCAAUCUGGAUACCAGUACUCAAGAAGUUCUUAGCAGUGUUUUUUCCAUCUACAAGUCAGAGUUAUCAAAAGUGGAGAGUAAAUCCUUGGCCGUUGUCAGUUCAUCUGAUGAGUCCCUAGAGGCUUGUUGGUUUGUUGAUGGUGUCCUAUCAAAGCUCGAUGACUAUACUAUUUCCCAGUCACCCUCACCCAAUGAAGACUUGAGCGUGAGUACUCAAUAUUCUCAACUGAGCUCAGAAGAGAGUGUCAGAAUCACAGAGUCCUCUACUAGUCUGAUUCAGAGCAUUAAGAAGCUCUCUAGCAAUGACUUCCAGACUCAGGCAGAAGAGGCAGUGAGUAAAGUGCUGAUGAGAUCCAGUCAUUCCUUUAUCACACAGAUCAGCCAUACUGGUCUUCAGAAAAGUCUGCAGGCUGGCUUAUCAUCUAGCUCACCAUCAGAGAUCCAUGUCCUUUCAGAAUCCAUGUCCUCCAUGUCCUCUGAGAAUACAGCCUCUGGAUUAGUGGAAACCUUUGUCAAAGGAAUGGCGACUAUUUUCCAGAAAAAUGAGUCCACUGACACUGUGCUACUGGAAAGAAGUGGGAGAGUUUCGCAGUGCUCCCACGGGGGCUCCCAAAUGGAUGAUACUGAAUUGAGUGUUAAAAUAUCAGAGGAGAAGCUUUGGUCAACAGCUAAGACCAUCUGCGUCAGUAUGAAGAACACACUUAAGGAUUUCUUCACAGGGCUGAAGCCAUCCGGAUCCGAAAGGACAGAAAAUGCUUCUUCCAAAGAGACCCUUGGGGAAAUCCUGGUUGCUAUCCAGAGUGAAAUCUCAAACUUAGGGCGAAUGAAGGAUUCCAGGGAGCUCCUUCAGAUCAAUGAUAUGGUAGGAACUAUGCUGAAGGAGGUUGAGAAAAGUGAGGAUGACAGUGAACAAGUCUGCCAAGAUAUCCCUAGAACUUGUUCAUCUUUGUCCACUUCUUUAAAUGGUCGUAGUUCCUUGUCCAGCUCUUCAAAGGGUCCUAGGUCAGAGUGUGAGUUAGAGAUCAACCUCCCUGGCACUCCCAUCCCUGACGAAGUGCCUUUUGAUCUGACCUGCCCCAUCGUCAGGAGCUCCUGCAUCGGCACCAGGGUCUCUAAAAUGCCAGAUAUUUCUUCAAGUGACAUAAAGACAAAGAUGAUGGCACACAUAGAUGAACCCCUGCAUCGUAACAGUCCAAUGACUGACAGCAGUCGACCACCGAGUGCUAAAGCCUCUUUUCGAUCCUCCACCCCGUCUUUCACCAGCAAGGGAACCUCUUUGGUACCAAAGGGAAAUGGGAUUGACAUUGAAGAGAAGGAGGUGUGCAUCCCCAGCAGCUCUGGCCAUCUGAGGGAGCUCUUAAUCCCCCCGGAUAUCAGCAGUGCCACUGCAUUCCCACUGCAGUACUUGAUGGACUCCAGCAAAGAUGAUGGCAUCUGUUUUGUCACCAUACUGGUGAUAAGGUUGCUAUCGGAGAUCAGACCCUCAGCCCUAGAUGGACCCUCCCAACAGGCAGCAGAUCUGACAGAAACAGCUCAGCAACUCAUCAGACAAGUCCUGUCUGAGUUCUGUGCUGCAUCCAGAUUCUCCAGGACAAAGGCAUAUUCCCAGAACCUGAACAUCCAAAGGGUGUUCAGAGGUGUACAUAAAAACCUCAUGGAGGAGUUUGGCUCUUAUAACACCCUGCAAGCAGCUAUUUCCUCCCAGGACCCUGCAUUUGACAGAGUCCUGGUAAAGUCCUUGACCCAGCAGCUGGUACAGGGAUGCAAGGAGGCGUCAAGACCAGCUUCUGCUGCAACAAACCCAUCAGACCAGGCUGAGACAGAGAGGGGGGCUGAGCAGAAAGCAAGAAGGAGCUUCCUUUGCUUUUCAAUUACCAAACUCAGGAUCAACUUCAAGCGUUCCAAGAGAGGAAACAAAAAGGACUGCCAUUUAGUCCAGGACAGAACAGAACAGACUGAGAUUCCCUCUACUGAUGGACAUUGCAUAGGUAAGGAUUUUAGAGCUCUGCUAUAGAUUGUAGUUUUGUUUAGGUGUGUGUUAGAAACA
rnacentral:lncRNA from 1 species